CUUGAUUAAUUAAAUUUAGCAACAAAUAAUUUGAAUUGUAAAACAUCUUUUUUAUACUGUCUUUCUGUUGUAGCUGGAAGUAUAACCAUCAAGUUUGAGGUCUUCUCUCGAGCUCUGGACUCGGAGCCCACCAUGGGAGAAAUCAUCUUCCAGCUGAGGGAAGCCAUCAGAUCAGGGUCACUGGUCGUGACCUCUACUACUGGGCAGCGAUUGGUUGUGGACACCAACUCAUUUGCAUGGUCAACAUCAGAACUCAGAACUGAAAUUGACAGUGGAGCUAAUUACACCAUGUUCAUCGUGUCUGGAGCAGUAGGAGCUUUUGUUCUGAUCAUCAUUAUGACUGGGAUUGUAUCUAUCUGAUCAAAACCAAGGCUAACAAAUCCCAACAGGUCACCCAGUCUCCUACGCCAUACGGACCCAACAUGCAAGGUGUGGAUGUUCCCCGGCCCAUGGUGGGAAAAACCAACAGUACGUCUGGUAACUGGGUGGAGACUGAGGCUAACACAGUGGACAGUGUCUCUGAUGCUGACACCUACAGAAGUUACUCAGCUAAACCUUUGUCACGUCUCCCUCCCAUUCAGUAAGCUGAAGAAGAAAGGAGGGAUCAAUUCUGUUCAAUUGCUCGGAUGGAUCUCUUAGGACUUUUGUUUUAUAAUUCAGUGAUGUACAUAUAUGUAUAUCUGAUAAAAAUAAUUAUGUCUUAGAAAUGUAUAUCUUUGAUUUUACACAAUAAGAAUAUUCUGUUUUAUUUAGGAAAAUGAUAUUAUACUAAAACUUAACUUUAAA